AUUGAACGCUGGCGGCAUGCUUUACACAUGCAAGUCGAACGGCAGCGCGGGCUUCGGCCUGGCGGCGAGUGGCGAACGGGUGAGUAAUACAUCGGAACGUGCCCAGUAGUGGGGGAUAGCUCGGCGAAAGCCGGAUUAAUACCGCAUACGACCUGAGGGUGAAAGCGGGGGAUCUUCGGACCUCGCGCUAUUGGAGCGGCCGAUGGCAGAUUAGCUAGUUGGUGGGGUAAAGGCCUACCAAGGCGACGAUCUGUAGCUGGUCUGAGAGGACGACCAGCCAACGUGGGAAUGAGACACGCCCAGGCCUCCUCCGGGAGCCGCAGGGGGGGAUUUUUGACUAAGGGGCGAAGCCUUUAUCCACCACUGCGGGGUUGUGAAGAAUGCCCUUGUGUUUCCAAGCUAUUUUUGGGGGAAACGAAAAGUCUGUCCCCAACACCCCGUUUCGAUGACGCUCCCCUCAAAAUAACCCCCGCCUACCCCCUCC
rnacentral:rRNA from 1 species